UCCUACGGGAGGCAGCAGUGGGGAAUCUUAGACAAUGGGCGCAAGCCUGAUCUAGCCAUGCCGCGUGAGUGAAGAAGGCCUUAGGGUCGUAAAGCUCUUUCGCCAGGGAUGAUAAUGACAGUACCUGGUAAAGAAACCCCGGCUAACUCCGUGCCAGCAGCCGCGGUAAUACGGAGGGGGUUAGCGUUGUUCGGAAUUACUGGGCGUAAAGCGCACGUAGGCGGAUUAGAAAGUAUGGGGUGAAAUCCCAGGGCUCAACCCUGGAACUGCCUCAUAAACUCCUAAUCUAGAGUUCGAGAGAGGUGAGUGGAAUUCCGAGUGUAGAGGUGAAAUUCGUAGAUAUUCGGAGGAACACCAGUGGCGAAGGCGGCUCACUGGCUCGAUACUGACGCUGAGGUGCGAAAGUGUGGGGAGCAAACAGGAUUAGAUACCCUGGUAGUCCACACCGUAAACGAUGAAUGCCAGUCGUCGGAUAGUAUACUAUUCGGUGACACACCUAACGGAUUAAGCAUUCCGCCUGGGGAGUACGGUCGCAAGAUUAAAACUCAAAUGAAUUGACGG
rnacentral:rRNA from 1 species